ACGAUGGACAUUGCAAAGAGUGGCGAACGGGUGAGUAACACGUGGGAAACCUACCUCUUAGCGGGGGAUAACACUUGGAAACAAGUGCUAAUACCGCAUAAUACUGAUAACCGCAUGGUUAUCAGUUGAAAGAUGGUUCUGCUAUCACUAAGAGAUGGUCCCGCGGUGUAUUAGCUAGUUGGUAAGGUAAUGGCUUACCAAGGCAAUGAUACAUAGCCGAGUUGAGAGACUGAUCGGCCACAAUGGGACUGAGACACGGCCCAUACUCC
rnacentral:rRNA from 1 species